rnacentral:tRNA from 1 species
GUCUUUGUAGUAUAAAUAUUAUACUGGUCUUGUAAACCAGAGAUGAAGAAUUUAUCUUCCAAAGACA